rnacentral:antisense_RNA from 1 species
CGUUAUGGCGGGCCGUGCGUGGGACACCUUCGGGUGUGCCGGGUUUCCUUUUGCUCCGGUCUCUCACCCCGCGUACGGUUCGCCACCAUU